rnacentral:lncRNA from 1 species
CAGCUCACUGCAGCCUCAAGCUCCCAGGCUCAAGCAAUCCUCCCACCUCAGCUGCCCAAGCAGCUGAGACUACAGAGGUGGGCUACCACACCUGGCUAAUGUUUUUUUGUAGAGACAGGGUCCCACUAUGUUGCCCAGGAUGGUCUUGAACUCCUUGCCCCCGGGCAAUAUUCCUGCCUCAGCCUCCCAAAGUGUUGGGUUUACAGGUAUGAUCCACUGUGCCCAUCCUGGAUGCAGACUUUAAGCAGAGUCACAUCAACAAGAAGAGCUGUGAAGGUCAGGGCAUGACCCACAGAUGCCCAAACACUGCACUGGAGGUCCAGGAAGAUUCUGCUGACAACGCAACCCUGAGCCAAGAUCUGAAGGAUAAGAGGGAGCUUAUAACAUGGAAGAAGGAACAGUAUUCCUGGCAAGUGGAACAGCAUGUGCAAAGGUCAGGUGGUAAGAGGGGCUUCAAGGACAGUCCUAUGGCUGGAGCAGAGUGAUUGAGGGCAUGUGAAAUGAGAGGUGGCCAGGGUGGCAGGCAGGGACUAGCCCAAUGGCCGUGAAAGGGAUGGGACUUUGGUCACUGUUUCGCAUUUCCAGAUGUUUACUAUGUGCCAGGCUUGGUACUAAAUGCUUUUCUGGAAUAUCUCACUAGAUUCUCACAUAGAUGAAGGGCUUGAUCUUAGAGAGGUUAGAUCCCUCAGCCGAGAGCCCACAGUGAGGAAGCCAUGGGGCCUGUGUCCCUGACUGCAAGACCUGUGCUCAGAACGGCCAGGCCACACAGACCUCAACUCUCACUACAACCUCCUGAAGUCGGUGUGGUUACUCUUCCCACUUUACAGAUGAGGACAUGGGCCCAGAGAGGUUAUGUGAGUGACACAGCUUGAAGGUGGAGUUAAGCCUGGGCAGUCUGGCUUCAGAGUGUCCACAGUCUCAACCACUGCCUCACAUGGCUUCUUAGAAAAUAUUAUAAAAAGAAGCUCGGGCUGCCAUGUGGAAAAGAAUGGAGAGGGGACAAUGACACAGCUGGGAGCAUGCUGUGAUGGUGUACAGCGGACACAUUCAGGAUGAGGUGAAACAGGCUGGCCCUGGUGAGAGGCUAGAUGGGGCUGGGAUGAGGGUGGAGACAAGUAGUCUUGGGGUUGGCUUGGUGCAGCUGGGGGGUGCGGGGAGUGUCUCUGAGGUGAGGCCGGGGGUAUGGGAACGCCAUGUUUGGUCUGGGACACGGUGGGCUUGGGAUGGCUACAGGACAGUGCAGUGGAGAGUCAAAAAGGCUGCUCGGACCCAGGUCUGGCGAGAUGGAAGCUGGAGGUCAGGUGAGCUGUCUAGGAGAGGGACAGAGUGGGAAGGAGAGGGUCUCGACUCGGCUUUCUUGCCAAAGGAGGGUUCCGAAAUGAGAAACUGUGGAAUCUAAGCUGGAGAGGAAGAAAGACGGAGAAUGAGUGAACGCACACGUGUGGGACAGAUAGAUGAAUAUUCAUGUCUUUGGCUCCUAUGUACCUGAGUCUUCUAAAGCUGCAGGCCAUACUACCCCCGGGAGGCUGCAGGGAUGCCAGCUGGGAGAUGAAUGCAACUCUGCUGCCUGGGCAUGGGCCUGAGUGAGGGUGCAGACCCCUGCCUGUGAUCAUCAGGGAGGGUGAUGAGAACAAGGUGGCUGACAGGGUGAGGCCCAAGCCUGGAGCUUACCCAGGUGCGGGGAUGGGAGGGUCAGAGACCUUUGGGGGGUCUUAGGGAGCUUCCCCAGCCCUAAAGGCACCGCAAGCUGCCACUUCACACUGACCUGGGCAUACGCAGCUGCAGGAUCCCUUGCUCGCUCUCUCACAAGCAAAUGUAGACUGCGCAACCAUCCUGACCACAGAUCCAGAAAGCCCAGGACAUAACAGAGCCGCAGUGCCUGCCCUGAUCCACGCGCACACAGAUCUAGCCCAGGAACAAGCCCAUCCACGGAGUGAGCAGCUGACAGGGGAGCCACGAACAGCCUGGAGAGCUGAGCAUGGGCCUGCUCCACACUCCAGCGGGGCCCGAGGCCCCCGGGAACUCUACCCCUCCUGGCAGCCUCACAGAACCUGCUGCAUCCAUCUCAAAAGGCAUACCUCCUCCAGGAAGCCUUCCCCGCUGCUCAGAGGUCUUAAAUCCGGGGUCUGCACUCACAAACUGUGCAGCCUACACCAGCUUCUGGGGGACAGCAGAACACUGUGGGGGGCCUGGCACAGUCCCUGGCACACGGAAGGACAGGAACACCACGCAGAGAGUGUGAAUGCCUUGCUUCAUGCCUAACCCAGGGGCUGUCCUGGGUCUACCCCCCUGGUUGCUUUCCACCCAGAGACUCACCCACACCAGGGCGUACUUGAACUGGCUGGCGAGUGACCGGUGGAUGCGGUGGCACUGGAGGACAGGAGAGAGUCAGGUAGAGAGGUCUUCCAGGCCCUGGUGGGAGACCCAACACCUCAGCCCAGCGUCCCUGGGGCGGAGGCCGGCGCCAGGCCUGCAGGAACACUUCCUUGACACAGAUGGGAAGGUGGCUGACUCUGGUCUGCAGAUGGGUUUUGUUUUACUCAGCUUGCCCAGCAUUGCCACUUGAUACAGAUCCCAAGAAGAAAUGAGCUAGAGGAAAACAACACCAGGAAAGCAUCAGCCCAGGAGGACGGCCAUGUGACCUGAAGGUUGGCCACCAUCUGUGCCUGCAGGGUCAUGUUCAGGUGACAGAAUCCUGGACAGGGAAAGGCAGCCUCUUGCUCCCUGAGCCCAGACCACCUCCCCUGGGGCCUGUGCAUGCCUGCUCCCCUACCUGGGAUGCUCCCCACCCCAACUCUUCACUGCCAGACCCACUAGUCCUAUAAGCCGGCUCAGGUUGCCUCCUUGAAGCCGCUGUCCUGACCUCUGUGUUAAGCUGGUGCCACUCCCUACUCUCCUUGACUGAUGCCUGAAUGGCAUGGAAGCAGGGUUACUGGCAUCUCUGCAAAGCCAGGCAGCAUGCUGAGUGCCCUACACACUGGACCUCAUUCAACGUGUCCUCCUGACUAUCCAGGGGGCAGGCAGCACACCCCCCUCACAGUAGAGGUCAGAGCCUCGGCACAUGGCUAAGAAGGGGUGCUGCAGACGCAGCCCCAGGCUGUCCAACUCCAGAGCCUGCGUUGACAUCUGAGAGUGAGACCAGCAGAGCCCACCCCCAGCCCAGGGCACCUCAGGCAGAACAGAGCCCCAAAGGGCAUGCAGAGCUCCCACCCCUUGUCACGGCAGGUCUUGUCAACUCACCACGUGCUCCACUGAGGCCCCUUUCCGGAGAAUGAUGGCGUCUGUGAAGUCUGGCCUCUCUGCAGGGCAGGAUGGGGAGAACGUCAGCCACACAUCAGGGCCCACACUGCCAUCUUGUGAUUCUGCGCGAGGGAAGAGCUGGCCACAGAGGCCCUUUCGGUCUCCUUGCCUUGGCCUAACCUCCCCCUGACAUCCAGCACACCCUCCACAUAGAUCCCUGUACCAUCUUCUACGACCUUGAUCUUAACACAGUGACUCAAAAUAAAUCACGUCUAGGAUUCACAGUGCCUGCCACCCAUCUGCUGUGACAGCACUGACAGAGACCAGGACCUGGACUGAACGGGCAGGGCGCAAAGGGAU